GAGAGGGGAAGGGGGGAAUGGAAGGACAGCAGAAUAAAAUAGACAUUAUUAUUGCUGUGGGUAUAUAUGUGACUGCAACACCAAUGUGAUUCUGCAACCUGUACACUCAGAAAAAUGAGAAAUUAUAUCCCAUCUGAUUCAAAUGUAUGAUAUGUCAAGAUCAUUGUACUGUCCUGUGUAACUAAUUAGAACAAAUUAAAAAAAAAAAAAAGAACAGAGGUGUCUCCUUGAGAAAGUCAGUUUCUGAGCCAAUAUGUUGGCGCGUUGGGCCUACAUUUUCUUCUGGUAGGAACUGGGUUUCUGGGCUGAAUUCUAAGUCUUUGAUCCACUUUAAGUUGAGUUUUGUCCAGGGUGAGAGAUAGGGGUUAAAUUUUAUUCUACUGCAUGUGAAUUCCAGGUUUUCCCACCACCAUUUGUUGAAGAGGCUAUCUUUUCUCCAAUGUAUGUUUUUGGCACCUUUAUCAAGUAUGAGGUAACUGUAUUUUUGUGGGUUUUUCUGUGUCUUGGCCUUUUUGCCUGCUUUGUUGCCAGUACCAUGCUGUUUUUGUUACUGUAGCUCUUGUAGCAUAAUUGAAGAUCUAGAAUUGUGAUGUCUCCUGCUUUGCUUUUCUUGCUAAGGAUUUCUUUUGCUAUUAUGGGCCUAAAGAACAAGAAGUAAAAUCAAUAAAUGGAAUGAUUUCAAACUGAAAAGCUUCUUCACAGAAAAGGAAACAAUCAAGAACACAAAGAGAGAGCCUUACAGAAUGGGAGAAAAUCUUUUCACCUGUACCUCUGAUAGAGAAUUAAUUUCCACUAUAUAAGAAAAAACUCAAAAAAUGUAGUACCAAAAAAUCAAAUAACCCAAUUGGUAAAUUGGCAAAGGAACUGAACAGACACUUCUCAGAAGAAGAAAUACGAAUAGUCAACAAAUAUAUGAUAAAAUGUUCAACGUCUCUAGCAAUUAGGAGAAAUGAAAAUUAAAACUGCACUGAGAUGUCAUCCCGCUGCAGUCGGAAUGGCAAUUAUGAAGAAUACGAGUGACAAUAAAUAUUGGCAAGAAUGUGGGGAAAACUGUACACUCCUACAUUGCUGGUGGGACUGCAAAUUGGUGCAAAUUUGCAGUCCCACCAGCAACACUGGAAAGCAAUAUGGCGUUUUCUGAAAAAUCUAGGAAUGGAACCACCAUUUGACUCAGCUAUCCCAUUCGUUGGCAUAUAUCCAAAGGAGUUAAAAUAAGAAUAGUACAGUGAUGCAGCCACACCAAUGUUCAUAGCAGCUCAAUUCAUAAUAGCUAAGAUAUGGAACCAAUCUAGAUGCCCUUCAACAAAUAAACAAAGAAAUGGUGGUAUAUACACACAAUGGAUCAUUACUCAGCCAUAAAGAAGAAUGACUUUAUGACUGUUGCAAGUAAAUGGUUGGAACUAGAGACUAUUAUACUAAAUGAAAUAAGCCAAUCCCAAAAACCCAAAGGUCAAAUAUUUUUGCUGAUAUGUGGAAGUAGCCCACAAUAAGGGGGAGGAGAGAAGAAUGUAUAUUUAGUAGAUUAGACAAAGGGGAAUGAAGGGAAAUGAAGGAGGAUAGGAAAAGGAAUAAUAGUAGAAUUAAUCCAAAACAAUCUCCCUAUGAUGUACUUAUAUGAAUACACCAUAGUGAUUUCCACCAUAAUGUACAUCCAAAAAAAUGUUGCAUUAACUAGAAUAAGAUAUAUUCUAUACUUGUACAAUUAUAUCAAAAUUAAUUCUGUCAUAUUUAACUAAAAAGAACCAAUUAAAAAUAACAAUGGUGGUUUCUAAAUAGUCUCAAGGAUGUAAAAUAUUGGACCAAAUCUGCAUUUACCCAGCAUUUUACUUACUACCUGCUCCUUUCUACUAUUCAUACAGUUGCUUUAAUGUCUUACUUUUAAAAUCUUAAAUAUAAAAUUUAUAGAAAAAAUGGUAAUUACUUUUAUGGUAAUUGGGGUUUGGAAUGAAUUCAAAUUUAAGUGAAUCAAGUUUUCUUCUUUGUAUGCUUUAAGCUAAAUUUAUUGCAAGUAUUUAAAAUUAACAAAAUAUAUAAUGAUCAAUUUAAAAUAUAACUCUGUUUAAUCUAAUAUUCCAUAGAGAUAAUCAACCUAUUAUAAUAUCAUAGAACUAGCUCCUUAGUAAUAAUCUAGCACACCAUUUCCAUUUUACAGAUGAUGAAAUUGGAACCCAAAUAAGUUAACAGACUGACUCAUGGUUUCCAAGAUCAUUAUUUAAUGAACAGGGAAUAGAACCUUCAUAUUCCAUCUGUCAUUUCAUGGCUCUUUCAUAACCUUAUUACCCUGAAAUCUAGUGUAACAUUAAGAUAUACCAUCAUUUUACAUACCACUACGAAAGGGAAAAAAAAUCUUAAAAUUAUGAUUGUUUCAUUAAUGAUACUAUCAUCACACAAUGCAUGAACCAUCACAUCUGUCCCUCUCCCUUAUUGUUUUGAAACAUUUUUUUUCAGCCAUUAUGAGGGAUUAGGCAAGUUUUUUUCUUCAUGGCAGUCAAUUCUUUUGGUCAGUAACAAAAACAUUACACAGCUUCAUCUAAUCAUUGAUAUCUUUCCACCUGUUUGUUGCUUUCAUAAAUAUUACUAAUCAUGGUUAUUUCUUCAUUGAAGAGUGUUUUACCAAGACCAAAUUUAUAUCCUGUCCUUUGUUGCCAUGCCUUUUCGUGUAAGCAAUGAGUUUUUAUUUCAGUGAUGAGAAUAAAUUUUAAACAGUUGGUAAACUCAGCACAGGCUGUACGUACAAUGCUUCUGGCUUAGCCAGGAGGAAGACAGUUGGAUUAGCUACCAUCAAGAGCAGGUAGAGCAACUAUGUAAAGACUGUCCCUUGAAUGUUUUCACAAACUUUGUGAGAUGGUAUCUAUUGCAGAGACAUUUGAUUUCAGAGAUGUUAAAAUAUAAAUGCUACCACACCACCACCACCACCACCACCACCACUACUACUACUACUAAUGAAAUCUGAGUCUCAGAAUUGAUGAAAUAUGACUCCUCCUUAAGAUUUACUAGAAGCAUACUGCAAAACAUUUCUUUUUGAGGAGUAUUUUUUAUAGAAUACUCUGAUUAUUUACCUAAGAAGGUAUUUUGUCUCUUGCUAGCACAACCAAACAAAGAAGUAUAUCUGGCACUCUUGAUUGUGUUGUAUAUCCUAUUUUGUUUUUACACUUUGCCACACCAAAUGGUUUGCUUAGUGAAUUCUUUUUAAUACACUCAUUCCAAGUUCUAGCUUGGGGUUUGGUGGGGUGAUCUUACUUUACAAAACUUGUUUACAUGUAAUGAAUGUUAUGCAUGAAUUUUAAAAAGUGGAAGUGGUUUAUUCUUCACUGUUUUUCAAAAAUGAAAUACAUUUCAAGUGAACCUGAUGUGUAAGUCAUUAAACUACUAAAAGAAGUACCCAGUUAUGUACUAAGUUUAUCUGAAUCAUGAUGAAUAUGCAGUAAUAAGAAAUUUGUCCUCCUCCUCCUCCUCCUUCUCCUCCUCCUUCUCCUCCUCCUCCUCCUCCUCCUCCUCCUCCUCCUCCUCCUCCUUCUCUUCUUCUUCUUCUUCUUCUUCUUCUUCUUCUUCUUCUUCUUCUUCUUCUUCUUCUUCUUUUCUUUUAAGGAAAAAAAAUCUUGGUUUGGAAUGUGAUGAGUCUUUAUAGAGGACAGGAAUUUAAUUUCAAAGAAGUUUUCAAACUGCUUCUAGCUCACUAAGUCAUAAUUACUAUUUUGACAGUUACAUCUCAUAGACAUUUAUUUUAAUUGCAUAUGUUAGCAAUUCAUUUUAGUAUGACAGCCUCUGCCAUUGUUGUGUUGCCGAAUUAUGCUUAUGGAAAUUAUGUCAGAAACUCAACAGGUGGAGAACAGUAAUUAACCUGAAUCAUCAAUUAGCUUUUGUGAAUACAGAUGUCCUAUGAAUACAUGCUAGUUGUUUUUUUUUUUCUUUAUUUUCUAAUUAAGUAAAAUCUCACUAUCCUGACUCUCUCUUUACCCACUAUGUGGAACUAUCACUAGGCCUUCUUGAUUGACUUCCUAAAUCCAUCUUGAAUCUGCUCUCUGUCUAUACCAUUGUCAUUCUUGACAAUGUUAACAUUAUCUUUCCUCUGUUUUGGCAUAUAGCUUUUUGUCUCUGUUUUCUACCUGGAAAACUGAAGGGUUUCUGACAUGCAGGUCUGACCUUCCCACACCCACUUGCUUGAAAUGAUUCUGAGACUACUUCACAAGAAAAGCCUAAUGUCCUUAAGAACAGCUGUGAGGCCAUACAUGAUCAGUCCUUUCACCUACUGAGUCUUAUCUGUGUGCUGACUCUUCCCACUGAUGACAUUGUCCUGCAUUUGAUGCUUUGAAGGUAGAGCCCCUUCUUCCUCCUCUGCAGGCCCUUUGCACAUGGAAUUGUUUCUCCUGCCUGGUGUAUUCUUUCCACCCUGCCUAGCUUCUCUUGGCUUCUCCUUCAUUUCACACAUCAAUUGUCACUUCAAAUAUGGCCAUCUUUAAGGACUCAGGCCUAAUCAGGGCCUUGUGUGUGUGUGUUCUAGUGGAAAUAUGACUCAUCCUUUAUUAAUUCAAGCAGAGUAUGUUUUGGUCACAAUAAGCUUCAUAAAGGUUGGAAUCCUUUCUAUUUACAACAGUAUAGCUAGCCAUUUGCACAUCAACUGGUAUAGAAUAAGUGUUGGAUGGUUACUUAUUUAAAAAAUUGAUAAUUACUGUAAUGGAAUGGGUUAAAUUUACUUCACUGAGGUGAAGUAAAGAAAAGUUUAGCAUGAAAAAUAGUGUGACCAUAGUAAUUCUUAUUUUUUAAAUUGCCUUUGAGGAGUUUAAUAAUGGUUUGGAAGUACUUUUAAUUAAAAAUGUAUCUUACCAUUUUUGAGUCAGAUACCUUAUAUAUUCAGUUGGGCACUGCUACUUCCUAACCCUGUGAAGCUGAGCAAUUAAUUAUCUUACUGAAUCUGUUUCCUGCUCUGCUUACUCUAAACAUUACUCUAAAUAUUUGCUUGUUGCAAAGAGAAAGCAGGUGGGGGGGUUGAGUGUAAACUGUAAAGCAGUGUUUGUAAGGUUUAACUAUUUCAGCAUGUUCAGCAGGUUCUUUUGGCCACUGAUUUGAUUUUUAUAAUGCACUUGUGAAUAAUUGCUAAAUUUUAAAAAUAUUCUACACUUCUUAUUCUCCACUAAUUAAAACUGACUUUACCUUUAAUAGUCUAAGUUUUAUAUAUUUUUGGAUAUCAGAUCUAUUUGUUUUGGUAACAAUUAUUUAUAUUGAGGGCAAUACUUAUAAGGUUUGCCUCAUCUGGAAAAAAAGGCUCAUAAUGAAUAUAAAAUAACUACUAGUUUGAGAAUAUGUUUUGCUAUCAUAUAAAAUCCUUAAUUGUACUUUUCAGCUCUUUCUUACAACAAAACACUAGUCAUAUCAGUAGAUGACAGAAGACAAAUUCAGUUAACUGGCUAUUUUAAUAAUGUUUAUAUCUGGGUCAAAUAGUCGUUCCAUUCCAUGUUUUCUAAGGAAUCUCCAUACUGCUUUCCAGAGUGGUUGCACCAAUUUACAGUCCUACCAGCAAUAUAUGAUUCUAUCUUUUCCCCCACAUCCUCACCAAAACCUAUUAUUGCUUAUAUUCUUGAUAAUUGCCAUUCUGACUAGAGUGAGAUGAAAUCUUAGUUUGCAUUUCUCUAAUUGCUAGAGAUAUUAAACAUUUUUUUCAUAUGUUUGUCAGACAAUUGUAUUUCUUCUUCUGAGAAGUGUCUGUUCAGUUCUUCAGCCCAUUGAUUGAUUGAGUUAUUUGGUUUUUGGUUUUUAAGUUUUUUGAGUUCCUUAUGUAUCCUAGAGGUUAAUACUCUAUCUGAGGUGUGUGCUAUAAAGAUUUUUCUCUCCCAUCUGUAGCCUCUAUCUUCACAUUAUUGAUUUUUUCCUUUGCUGUGAAGAAACUUUUUAGCUUGGAUCCAUCCCAUUUAUUGAUUUUUUAUUUUACUUCUUACACUUUAGAAGUCUUGUUAAGGAAGUCAGGUCCUAAGUCCACAUGAUGAAGAUUUAGGCCUGUUUUUUCUUCUAUUAGGCACAGGGUAUCUGGUUUAAUUUCUAGAUCUUUGAUCCAUUUUGAAUUGAGUUUUGUGCAGCAUGAGAGGGAGAGGUUUGAUUUCAUUUUUCUACAUAUGGAUUUCCACUUUUCUCAGUAGGAUUUGUUGAAGAGGCUAUCUUUUCUCCAAUGUAUGUUUUUUGUACCUUUCUCUAGAAUGAGAUAAUCAUAUUUAUGUACAUUUGUCUCUGUACCAUUUGUCUACAUGUCUAUUUUGGUCCCAAUACCAUCCUGUUUUUGUUUCUAUUGUUCUGUAGUAUAGUUUAAGGUCUGGUAUUGUGAUGCCUCCUGAUUCACUCUUCUUGCUAAAGAUUGCUUUGGCUACUCUGGGUUUCUUAUUUUUUCAAUUGUAUUUCGUGAUUGCUUUUCUAAUUCUACGAAGAAUAUCAUUGGGGUUUUAAUAGGAAUUGCAUUAAAUCUACAUAGUACUUCUAGUAGUAUAUCCCUUUUAUUAAUUCUUCCUAUCCAAGAGCAAGGGAGAUAUUUCCAUCUUCUAAGGUCUUCUUCAAUUUCUUUCUUUAGUGUUCUAUAGUUUUUAUUAUAGAAUUUGAUUAUGUAGAAUAUGGUUUUAGAGUUAGAGAACUACAGAGGCCAUUUAUUCUCUUCCCUUCAUUUCACACAUGAUGAAAGUGAACCUUAGAAAUGCAUCUAGCUAAGACUGAAACACUGACUUUGCCUAGUGGCAAAAUACAGCCAAAAUAUUAAAACAGAUUGGCUGACCACUUGCUAAAUGUCAAAAACAAUGAUGAACUUUGAUUGGUACACACCACCCAUUCCAAAGGAACUGGCAAUCUAAUGUCCUGUUACGAGUUUUUAUUCUAUAGUAUAUUAAGAAAUUAUUAAAGUGAUUUUGAAAAAACAAGAAUCCCAAAGCAAGAUAGGGUUGAACUGUUGCCUUCUUUUCUUGGGGAAUCACAAUUUUUAUCAUUAAUUGAAUGGAAAAAAGAAUAUCAUUAAGUUUUAUGUUCAAAGUCCUUGAAUUACAGUUUCUAUGAAUAACACUCCCUGAAAACAAAAUAAACUAGAAAUGAUUUUAUAUUUAUUUUCUUGUUUAUAAUAUUAAACAAUGUUCAUUGUUUCCUUAUUUUUUUCUUCUAAUAACCACUUUAUGGUCAGAUUAGGAUUAAAAUUGUAUUCAAAAUCUGUAUUUUUUUCCUUCAACAACUGCUUUCUAUGUUCUUUACAUCUGGCAAAAUGACCUCUACCAUUGCAUCAUUUUGUAAGAGGCAACCAGCAGCUUUAAAGAAAAAAACAAUAAAUUAAUCUAAAAAGAAAUAUUUGAACAUGAAAAUCUGAAUCAUAUAAAUAUUUUAUAUGGGAAACAGCAAUAAAAAUUAGUUUUUAGUUUAAAAUAAUGUUUAUAUUUAGCCCAAAUAUUGAUCAGACUAUGUAGGUUGCCAUAUUCUCAUUUUGUAGGCAUAGUUUGCUGGGGCCCCUUUGGCUGUGGCUCUCAACAUAGGUUCCAUUAUAUAUGUAUUUUUAGAAUGUCUAACUUUAUAACAAAGCAUGUCAUAUGUACUUAUAAAACUGUGAACUGUCUGAAACCUUUCUUCUGAUUCUGCCCAUGUACGUCAUUUUUAAAGAUAUAUAAAGGUUGAGGUAAAGCAUUUGAAAUGCAAAGGUCAAGCCCCUAAUUAAAUAGUCCUUAGGAAUAUGAGAUAGUUUACAGUUAUAAGUUCUCUGCUUCCUGUGUAAUACUGUAAAAUAGCCAUAUAGAAAUAUCUAGCUCUUCCACCCUGAAAAACACACAUUUUUCCUACUUGGGUAUCAAACAGAUAUUUUGCAUUUUUCACUGAAUUUACCCUGUGUUUGGGAUUACAGUCUAUAGUCCAAGUUUUGUCAUAAUAAAUUAGAUGCUUAAGUAAGACUACUAAUGUGCUUAACCUUCUGGAUGGUCUAGAAUCAUUAGAGCUCAUGAAACCUUUCAUCAAAGUUUAGGGAGAUAUUUUUAAUGCUCAGCAAACCAACUCCAUAAUUUACCCCUAAUAAUUAUAAUUAAAAUGAUUAAAAGAUUUUUUGUUACUGAAGUGACUAAUUUUUUUCCAGUUUGAAAGAUCGUCUUGAAAGAACUAAAUAACUGAUAACUGAAAUUUAUCUUUAAUAUAAAAUAUGACCAUGAAUUGGAAGUCUAGUACUGCAAUUUAUGUGUUUCAUAGUAUGUAAUAAUAUGUGUUUCAUGUAUGCAGUAAUAUAAUUUAGGAAACAUUAAAUUAUUUCAUUCAAUGCUGAACAUUUCAGUUUGAGUUACUAGAAGAUUUGCAAGUUAUUCUUUAUAUUUAAAAUGUAUUUGUUUUACUUUAAACAGGUUGUAUUAUUGUUUUUGUUAAGGUAUUGCAUUCAAAUUGGUCUCUUAACUAACAUUGUAUUGACUUUUGCAUGUUUUGUCUUCUAAAUUUAUUAAAUAAUUCAUUAAAUACUGUGCUUUUGUUUAAUGCUAAUUAUUAAAGAUAUGCUGUUCUUAUUUGUUGAUAGUACAAGUUCUGAGGUUCUUAGACACCCCAUACAAGGCUUCUGAUGUUACCAAAUCAGUAUCAUCCCACCUGCUAGUUCAGGCCAAUAUUCAUAUGUCCAUUUUCAGAUAUGGUGGCUAAUUUGGUUAAAAUGGUAUUGCAGAGGUUGGAUUUGAGGGAGCAUCACAUGCUCAGUCAACUUAAAAUACUUCCAGUGUCACCUAACAUUACUUACUGGGGGUCAAAAAUGGGAUCAUUGUAGGGAUUGAUUAAAACCAAGGAAAUAUGAAAAUUAAUAGUGCUUACAAUCAUCCAUUAAAUUAGAAAUGAUCAGAGAGCACAAGAUAUGCAGAUGUUACAAAAGAAACUCAAAGGAAGCUAGAUAUGCUCAUUUUCCUAUAGAGAGCUAUACGCAGAGAUCACAUUAGGUCAUGACUCACCUCUCCUGUUGUUAAUGAACUGCCAUUCUCUGAGUCUAUUUUGAUAUUAAUGCUGUUUUCAAAAAUGCUUUAUAGUAUUUAAAAGUAAUUAGACACCUCCUACUACAGAGAACACUAUUAUUUUCAUUAUAUAGAUGGCUUGUGUAGGUAACUGCUCAUUGAUGUUCAUUUUGAAGGUGUAGAAUAACCCAGUAAGACAUUAAUUAAAUAUUUCAUUUAAUUAAAUAUGGUCUCUUAAGAGGUUGUUACCCUUUUCUCAUAGAAACAUUAUUUGUAGCUUCAAAGUUUUACCUAAUAGAGAUUCCAAUAUUUCUACUGGCUAUAUUGGAAAUAAUUCAGGGAAUGCUUUGUUCUUUCACAAGUAUUUAGUGCUACUGAAAAAAAGAAUGUGGUGUUAUUUCUCUUCUAAAACUGAAUUUUGACAUAAUUAUAGAUUAAUCUUUAGUAAAUACAAUUAAUAUCAUGUCUUCCCAUCUUUAAAAUAAAGAUUUUGUAAGACAUACAGUAUUGGUCAAUACUUGAUAUUUACUGAGGGCCUUGGGCUUUAUAAAUGGCUUUACUUACUUUAGCUUUUUUUCAUCCUAUAAUAAUCCUCUGUAUGAGGCUGCUUAGGCUGCCACAGAAAAAUGCCACCGAAUGAGUAACUUACACCAUUGUAAAGUCUCUCAGAUUUUGGCAGUUUGGAAGUUCAAGGUUAGGGUGCUGGCAUGACUGAGCUUUGGCAAGGGCCUUCCUGCUUCAGAUGGCUCCAUUCCUAUGGUGUUCUCACAGGCUCUCCUCUUUGUGCCAAUGAUUACAAGCUUUCCAGUGUUUCUGCCUAUGUGGGACAUAAUCCUAAGGGGUCAGGGCCCAACCUUUAUGACCUCAUUUUUAACUUUGCUUACUUCUUUAGAGGCCACAUCUCUAAAAAUGGCCACAUUGAAGGUAGCUUGAACAUGUGAAUUUGUGGGAGACAGAACCCACAUUCAGCCCUCCAGGUUAAUUUCUGUCUGAGUCAUACCCAGUUUACAGAAGAUACAAUUGAGGGUUUUGUGAUUUGGCAGGUGUUACACAAUAGUAAGUGUUAGAGUGAGGGUACAAAGGCAGGCUUUGUGUCUCACAGGCCUCCAUGCCCUAAACUGCAGCUCAGUUGCUGUACUCGAGAUCUCAGGGUUGAGGUAGAAAGAGCAGAGAGAAACACAUUGUGAUAUCAGCAAGAGAUGAGAAAAAGGCUGUAGAAGACUUAGAUUUCUUCCUUAAAAACUCUAGAGCUUAUGAAAUUUCUCUAAUUUAGGAAGAAAUUGAUUCUGCUUUCUAAUUUUUUUUUUGUGUUCUGUGUCUGUUGGUUAGUUUUUGGCAGUGAAACCUCUAUAAGCUUCCCAAACCCCUUGCAAACUUACAGAAUCAAAAGCUCGGGGGAAGUGACAGUCUAUGACUGCAUUUUAAAUAGUUCUCCAUGUGAUUGAUAUGUAUUCUAAGGUAUGAGAAUCACUGCUGCUCAAAAAAGCAUCCAGUUCAGGUUAGAAGACAUAUAUUUGAAGGUGACUCAUAUUUGGAUGAGACAAUGUGUAAUGUUUAAACUCUUGCAAAAUGCAGAAGCUUACUCUUAAUGCAAAAAGGUUGACAUACACCAAGCUCUUUGGAAGCAGUUCUCCCAGGAAAAUGCAUUCUUCUUGUGGGUAAUGUGUCCAUAGUGCCAGUAUUUUUUCUUCAUGUCUUUUUCCUAUUUGCCUUUCUUUUUUUAACCCCAUGUGUCACUUCAUUUCCUGGAUGCUAUUUUAAUGUGUCUUUUGUCUUCCCACUGCCCAGCAACACCCACUCCAGCUCCCUGAAAACCUACUCACUAGACCAUAUAAUGCCCACUUCUUGCCUGGGGUGCAUACCCUGCAUAAAACAUUUCUUCAAAAAUAUACUGCAAGCCAAAUUCCACAAUCAGUCUUGAUUGUGGAAUCACUUCAAGUUGAUCUCUAUCUUGGAGAUAAACAGUGCGUAUUUAGCAUAGUAAAACAAAACAAAACAACUUUAGGUUCUAGAAAGACAAAAACUAAUUUGAUGUACUUUAACCUACUAAUCUCCAAAUUUAUCUGAUUAUACAACCCGUAUUUUCUGCAUAGUAAUAUUGAUGUUUUGAUGACCUUGUGUUUCCUGAUAACAUUUUAGGAUUUUAGGACUCUACUCCACUAUGUAUUUGUUCAUUGAUUGAGGUUUAAUUUCCCAAAGUUCUUUUAAUACAAAGAACUUGCAUGGCACAGGGGCAUGGAUCAUCUCUAAGCACCUCUGGAAAAAAGUUUGCUGCUGAGAAUUGAAAAGACAAAUGCCAAACAAGGAGAACUCAUCUCGGUCACGUGUGGUUUGAGAUGGGUAUGGAACCAUCAAAGAAUUAGAAUUGCAGAGCACUAGAUGUUCUGAAUUAACCGUAGUAAACUUGGGGGGAACAUGAAUGUAUGUUAUAGAAGAAUGGAGAAGAUGAUAAAAGAAAGGGUGAAUAUGAAGACAGGAAAUUUGAAAAAAGAGUUUAUGUCCUUCACAACAUUUUAGAUGCUAACCUUGUCAUGAAGGAUGAGCAUUGAAAUGUAGAUAAAUACCUGUGUAUGUGUCUCUGUCUGUCUAUCUGUCUGUGUCUGUCAGUAACUCUGUCUAUCCUCUUCUAUUAUCUCUGUAUCUAUGUAUGGAUGUGUCUAUCUAAAGAGAGCUUUAAAUUACUAACACCAAUCAUCUCUGGGCUCUGAACUUGAGACACGAUAUAGAUGCCAUAGGUCAAUCCUCUAUAAAACUCUUUAAAUUUGUAAAGUUGCUGAACAAGAGAAGGCCUGAUAUCCUGCUGGGUGUGAAGACUGAAGAUCUGCUAUAAAUUAGAACAUGGGGAGCUUUUAUUUUUACUUUUACUUUCAAGUCUGUCAUUUUUAUUAGUCUUCUUAGAACCUUUCUCUGAAGACAGACUUUGCAACUUCCUGUUAAGUUUUUUUAAGAGACAGACUCUAAUAAAUUGAAAGCAAGUACAGAAAGCUCAUAUUUCAUUGCUUUUUCAUUUUUCCAUUAGCAUAGAUAUAACGUACUAGAAAAAUUAAUAUGUGCCUUAGGUUGUGACUAUACUGCUUGCUUCAUCUAAAGGCAAAGGUACUUUUUUGAAGUAUAUAUGAAGUAUCCUAAGAACACUUCCCCUAAUUUUAGCUUGAAAUCACAAGCCAUCUACAGAAUGAAUCUUGUAGGUAAAAACUCAACAAAAUAAAUUUGCACUAUCUGAAAAUUUGUAGGAAAACCAAGCAAAUGAAAUUUCUCAAUGUUUGCAACUACAACAACAUAUGCAGGACUGAUCCUAACCUACACUUUGGUUUUAUCACAUUUUGCUUCUGUGAGAGUCUGCUCUUGGGCCUAUUUUUUAUUCCCCAUUUGCAUUCCUUUCCUAUAUUCCUUCAUAGCCCCAUGCUGUCUGUUCAUCAAAGCCUGCCCAUAGGAAAGGAGCUGAUAGAGUUCAUAAGUAUUAAUAACUGAUAAGUAUUAAUAACUGAUAAGGCUCCACAUUACAGGAGGAGUUCAUUGUGUUUUAUUAAUGUUAAUUCUUAAUUCCAAGUGAAUUAAGAUAUCUUUGUAAAUUUUCAUCCACUCUUAGGAAAAGUAAGACUGCAGUAAUUGCCGGAGCCAGCUGGAUUAGCUCACAAGAACUGAUGGUUAAAAUUUUAGGAAUGUUUGUAAGCUGGUUGUUAUUAAAUAUAAAAUUAUAUAAACACAAUAAAAUAAAUUAUACAUUCCCUUAUGGUGGGGGGGAGAGAGAGAGAGAGAGGGAGGGGGAGAGAGAGAGAUGAGUGCAAGGGCUGUGUCUAUAUCCUUCUGCUUCUGUUUCUCUGGAAAAUCCUAAUCUAGCUACAAAUCCAUGAGUUUUGAAAAAAUUAAAAAUAUCAUUGUGUAAAAAUCAAUUGGCUAUAUGAAAUUUGCAAUACAUAAUAUUAUUUUAUAAUUCUGAGUUGCAUGCUACAGAUUCUUCAUAUCAGUAACAUGUAUCAUUAACUUUUAUGUAUGUACAUAUGCAUACAUAUCAUGGAAGAAUACAGGCAUAUGCAUGCAUGAAUUCUUUGAGAUUAUCUCCCUGUGUGUGAGGUCAGUUAAAUGUUUGGAGCUGCUUGAUUUUUCUAUUUCCCCAAAUGAGAACCAAACAUUUAAAUUUCUCUUUUCUUUUUAUUUUUGGUGAUACUGGGGAUUGAACCCAAGGGGUUGUGCAUGUGAGGCAAGCACUCUACCAACUGAACUAUAUCACCAGCCCCAAACAUUUAAUAUGAAGAAAGAACAUCCACACAUCUAUUGUUAUUAGCAUUAAUUCAAGACUGUGAAAUUUUUAUUUCCAAAUAUGGAACAGAUAAUAUUAACUGCUGUGUAUAUUUCAAUGCAGAACUUCCAAAAUAAUUAAUUGUGGUUUAAUAAAUAUAGUAUUUUCACAACAAUGCUGUUGGGAUAUGUUUACUGAAAAGACAAGAUUCAUGUGUGAAUAACUGCAGGUGUUCAAUUUUCAAAGCCUCUGAAAACACUUGAACAUUGAAACCUACAUGGAAUUUUAUCUUCUGAAGGAAGAUAUAGUUUGAGUGGAUUCCACACUUGUUUGAAGUAUGUGGUUUCAUAAUGCCCCAGCAUUUCAAAUUCAAGAUUUAAUAAUCUCUCACCUGCCAAAUCAUCAAAUGCCCUUUCAUAACAGGAUGCUGUAGUACCAUUCAUUUCAAUGGCAGCCAUGGAUAAUAUGGUCUUAAGCCAUUGAUAUUGAUAAAGGACCUGGCAAGCACCAGGAAAAAGAGAAAGAAAGAAACAUCCUGCCUGGACUUAAUAUGUUUUUGCUCUUUCAAAAGGCAGGAGAAUAUUAACUUUAAUUUAUUCAGUUAUGCAUUUUUUUUCAACUUGCUGCAUUACCGAAUGUGGAAAAUAAAAUAAAAAGAAUAGAUAUGCAAAACAUUCGUCGGCUCUUUGUAUGAACAGUGCUUCCUUAAUGUUCAGUUAUUGAUUUUCUUUGCGUGACUUGACUUUGCAAUGAAUAUGAUGGAAAGACGAAAAUCAAUAUGAAAUAAAAUUUACAUAAAGGCUGUUAUUCUGGAUGAUAGAGAUUUUAUACCUUUCCUGAACAUGUAUGUUUGUCUUUGCAAAGAGGUUGAAACAGAAGUACAUAAAGUCAGUGGUAGCAACAAUGCUGGCAGAAUAAGUACUUAAGUUCAGGAAUGGUUACAAUAGGGUAUUGGUUUCUAAUUAGUACUUUAUAGCAUUGGCAUGUUCUAAAUAGGCUGAAUUUCAGUGUACACUCCUUUAAGUAUGCAUGGAUCUUAAAUCCACACCCAGAUUCAGUGCUGAUUGGUCGUUGUAUAUAACUCUAUAAACAAAAUAUUUCCAUUGUUAUCAUUUCAUUUUAAGAUGCACAAAAACCUAGGAAACAGGUUAGGAUAAAUAGCUGUUACAUUCUGUUUUACAUGUGAGGAAUCGGGCAUAAAGUGAUAAAUUGUCAGGCUAUGGUUUACUUCUUGUUCUUAACCCUAACCACCUAGUCAUCCUUGUUUUCUCCACUAAGUACCCAUCAAGGAUAAGGACAAUGGUUGACAUUCUUUAAUUCUUCAUGCAACACUUACAUUCACAAUUUGGCUAGAUCUCUUUAACUGUGUCAAAUUCAGAUAGGUCCUAAAAUUUCAGCUUCAUUGACUGCCUCUAUCACAAUGACUAUAAUGAGAAAAAGCAAAAACUUCAUCACUCAACAAAUUAUCUUUAGAAGUUAAAAAAAAGAGUCCUAGUAUUGAUACCCCUAGUUAUUGUUGAAGAGUUCUGCUGAAGUACUCACCUGUUGAAGUAUAACAUUAGAGAAGCACUUGGAGGCAAGCAUAUAAAGCAGGAUUCAUUUAAAAAGGGGUAACAGAUAGGAAGGGUAACAGAAUAAAAUAGACAUUAGUAUUGCUGUAUGUAUAUAUGUGACUGUAUGACCAAUGUGAUUAUGCAACCUGUACACUCAGAAAAAUGAGAAAUCAUACUCCAUUUGAUUCAAAUGUAUGAUAUGUCAAGAUCAUUGUACUGUUAUGUGUAACUAAUAAAAAUAUUUUAAAAAAAUAAAAAGGGUAACAGACUUCUCCACGGAGGGAGAAGGGGACCAUAGCCGGUGUCUUGGCAUCCCCCAGUGAGCAUUUUCUGCCUUUUUUAUGUAUUUAGGCUUCCUUUUUUCUUCUGCUCUCUUCCCCUCAUCUCUCUCCUUCAUGCAAGGUGACUAGGCCCAGGAGAUGCUCAGUGGGAUGGCCAAAAGGAUAGAAGCCCAUGGGCUGGAGGAGCCAAUUGGAGUGAUCUGGGCAGGAAGGGGGUGUAAUCAACAACUCCCUGUAUGGAAGGAAAAUCCCUGGGACAGGUUACCUUAGCAACAGGUUGGAGUAGGGGAAGGUUAUCUUGAAACAUUAGUGUUUCAAUCCCAUUCCAACUCCCCAGACCCAAAUUGGCCUCCUUGAUCUGAUCUGACCUGAUUUACCUAUCUAUACUGACUGCCUCUUUUAAUUUUGGCUUCAGUAUCCUACCAAUAUGUAUCCAAAAAGAAUAUGUACCUAGAUGUAUAUUCACCUACACAUACACAUACAUACAUGUAUAGAUGGUGUUUUAAGUUUGGUUCUUUUCCUCUUUUGUUCAUUAGGAAUUAGAAUAUGACUUUGGGGUAGAAUGGUAAGAUUAAAUAAAUAAGCAGCUAAAGAUUUGUUUAAUUGUAAUAGUAUUUGCUCACAGAUAAGGAUUAGAAAAAGGAAUGGAAUUUCAAGGCACAGGGAAACAUAAGUAAUUACUGUCUUAAAUGGAGAAAUGAGAGCGCACAAUAAAGAAUCUCAAGGAAGAAAGGCAAGCACAGCAUCACAGGGGCUUUUAAAUGCUUACUUGAAGAGCAGUCCCUUCAGAGACAGGCAGAGGAAUCAGGCAUAGCUUCCAGUCACACUCUACCUUUUGAGAUGGCUGAUUUCCAAUAUUUCAUAGCUGUAAUUUAUAACUUUUCAUACCUUAAAGCAAAACUCUACCUUGCCAUAAUUUGCACCUAAUUCUGUGAUUUUAGAAAAUUAUCUGGCUUUGGAGAUAAUCAGCACAUGAUUUGUGUAUUAAUAGAAUCUUUCCCUCAGUCGUAGAGUAAAUAGUUAAGACUACCUGUGAGGUGCUAGGCAUUAUGCCAAGUGCUGAUUAUAUCUAGUUACUUCUUUGUAUGGAAGUCCUACAAAUUUUUUGAAGCCCAGUAGCACCAAAGUUAUUUGUUUCACCAUUAAUUUCUCAGAUGUCAUGAUUCGAUGAUUCUAUGAAUUUCACUAUCCUGGUGUUAUUCCUUUCCUUGGAUUGUAUUCCUUUCUCAUAAGGAAAUAUCACAACUGGACAUAUCUUAUAAAAGAGGAAAUAUUACUAUUUCAUUAUCUGUGGUAUACCUUAAUAAUCAGAGGUUACAGAUUGUGCAUCAUGUUUAAGAAACUCAAUUUUGGCCUUAUCACUUAUGAUCAUUACUUCAUCAUUUUGUUUUGUUUUCAGGAGGUGGUGGUACUAGGGCUUGAACUCAGGGGCACUCAAUCACUGAGCCAGUUCCCCAGCACUAUUAUGUAUUUUAUUUAGAGACAGGGUCUCACUGAGUUACUUAUCCCUUCACUUUUGCUGAAGUUGACUUUGAACUUGGGAUCCUCAGCCUCCUGAGCCACUGGGAUUACAGGCAUGUGUCACAAUGCCUGGUCCCGUCAUUUUGUUUUUAAGCUUUGUCUCAUGUUGAUGAUUUAUAGUGCAAUCAGUCCUCUGCAUUUGUGAAUUCUUCAUACAUGGGUUCAAUGAACUUCAGAUCAGAAAUACUUGAACAAAACAUGUCUGUACUGACAGGUAGACUUUUUUCUUGUCAUUGCUCCCUAAACAUUACACUGUAACAACUAUUUCCAUAGAAUUUAAAUUGUAUUAGGUAUUAUAAGUAACCUAGAGAUGAUUUAAAGUAUAUGGAAGGAAGUGUGAAGUAUAUGCAAAUCCCACUCCAUUUAUAUGAGGGACUUGAAUAUCUGCAGCUGUGGGGUCCUGGAGUAAAUCCCACAUGGAUACUGGGGAACAACUGUAGUUGGUAAAUUUUUCAAUGCUUUUGUUUCAUUAUUUGUGACUAUUAUGCUGGUGGCCAUUAACUUAUUUUAAGGUUUCUGAUGUUUUAUCUACAUUAGAGUGAUAUCUGUCUAAAUAUUUCCUUUUUUAUAAAUAACAAGAAUGAACUUGUCUGGGAACUUAAUUUUCUUCUAUUUCUCAAUAGAGUGCCUAUUUGAAAUUUGUAAAUAUUCUUGGUUGAUAGACAACUUAUUUAAACAGUUAAGCAAGUUUUUAAAUUCCUCAGCUAUUGAGCAGUAUUUUAUUUUAAAUUCAUGUUAUGUAGAUUCAAAAGAACAAAAUAUAUAUGCAAAUGAGAAUUGGAGAGCUUGUAGACAAACUAUGAAAAUAAAUCUUUCUCUGGAUUAAGUCUCAUCUAUAUGUGUUGUGAAUUGUUAGGGACUGAAGAGUUUUAUAUAUGAAAAUUUUGUUGGGUUUUAACAACAUUUUGGCAACUAUUGAUUUCUGUAGAACUCUGCCCAGACCUACAAAUCCCAUAAAUAAUAAACUUCCAUAUUGAUAUUUUAAGUUCUGUAUAAUUGUUUCAAUCUUCCCCUGUUUGCCCAGUGUUAGUAUUUCUCUACAUAUAUCUUUUGGUCAGUUUGGGAUCAGGGACAAGCAACGCAAUUUUAAAAUCAUAUGCUACAGUCCCCACAGGUCUGUAGGAUCAAGAGGGUUCAUGUCUUUCAGUGUAUGUGGAAUGUGGUAGUACAGAGGAGUCCAGUAUCUGUGUUGUUUUUUCUGCAGCAUUUUUUAAUUUAUCCCCUUGUCCUUGGAAUGUGCAUUGGGUAGAAGAGGUAGUUAGGAAGUAAUUACAAAACUAAACUUUUGGUCUAGGCUUGUGGCUCAGCGGUAAAGCGCUCGCCUAGCAUAUGCAAAGUGCUGGUUCGAUCCUCAGCACCGCAUAAAAAUAAAUAAAUAAAUAAAUAAAAGAAAGAUAUUGUGUCCAACUACAACUAAAAAAAAAUAAAAAUAAAAACAACUAAUCUUUUACUGAAUUGACAUCUCCUUACUUUGUUGAAAGGUAAAGCAUAAUUACCUAUUUCAGGUAAUAAUGGAGGAAUUUAUUUUGCCACCAUUAGAAUUCAGUUCACUGAAAAUUUCAGAUGAAAUAUGUAUAAUUAAUUAAUGUAUUAUAUUUGGUGUAUUCCAAGAGCAUGGUUUGCUUCUUUCUGCAGUUAGUAUGUUAACUUGAGAAGAAAUAUAACUUUCUGGCUAAAUUUGUGGGUUCAGGAAUAGGAAUACUUGGGAGUCUUCCUUAUUGGAUGAUAUCACUCAAGAGCCUUAAUGUCUGCAUUUGAUUUUCUUUUUCUAUUGAUGUGGUCUUCAAGAGUAACUACUUCUUAGAGCUAGUCAAAGAAUUAACUAAAAAAUACAUAAGAAUAGACAUGUUAAUUUUAGCUAUCACUCUUACAAUUUACUGAGUUUCGCCCACUUAAUUUUCUUUGAUUCCUUAAUUAUUUGUCAAAAUGACCAUCUUUUCUAUUAUGUAUGCCAUAAUGGGUGUGCUUAUUUAAUGUAUUAAUUUUCUUCAUAAGUAUAAUAUAUAUUUUUCAACUGAGUGAAUGAUUUGACUGUAGAAGUCAAUUAGCUCUUUUUUUUUUCUAAUUCUCAAUACAAAGUUUGAAAAUAAAACAUUGUAUUUAAAGAAUUUGUAUUCAACCAAAGGAUCUCAGGAUCAAACCCCCAAUAAAAAGACACUGGAUCCGGAAACACUAGCAAUAUUUUAGAAAUGUCCAAGAGCUAUAAAACAAAGUGGAUUUGACUAGAACUGUUUUCAAUUUGCACUUGCCUCCUGGGCAUCUGUUCAAACCUGCUUAUGAAAAGACUCUGACUGAUUUGUAAAGGGGGUUUGGUUUUGUUUCGUAGCUGUGUGAAGCAUACUUGUAUAAGGCAUACCACUUUCUUGUUUUGUUAUAUAUUACACUGCAUGUUGUCCUCUGUAAAUUAAAAAAAAAAGUCAUAAAGACUAGAUUAAAACUAGUAUUUGUGGUUUGGUUAGGUUUGUCUAUGAAAUAGUUUUGAAAUCAAUACCCCAACUGCAUUAUUAAGGGUGCAGGAGACAAUUCUGGGUGAGCUUCUUUCUGCUCCUAACAUUUCUGUGUUCUCUUCAAAGGUCUCCCUCUGAUCUUUUUUGUUUGUUUCCCCUACUCAUUCUUCUUUUCAGCUCUCUUUCAAGUGCUGGCAUUUCACAUACCAUUCACCUGACUUACACUGUCCAGGCUGCUAUAACAAAAUAUCAUAAGCUGGAUGACUUUUAUAAUAGAAAUUUAUUUCUGACAGUUCUAGAAACUGAGAAGUUUGUGAUCAAGGUGCUAGCAUCUUUGGUGUUUCAUGAGGGCCCACUUUCUGGUUUAUAGAUGUACCUUCUCAUGGUCCUCAUAUGGUGGAAGGGGCUAGGUAGCUGUCUCUGGGGCCUCUGGUAUAUGGUGCUAAUUCCAUUCAUGCGGGCUGCACCCUCAUAACCUAAUCAUUCCCAAAGGCCCCACCUCAUAACACCAUCACAUUGAUGGUUAUGUUUCAAUUCAAAACGUUUGUGGUGGGGCACAGAUAUUCAGAUCAGGAUCUUCAUUUGCUAUACUUCUUGCUCUGCUCUUCUUAGUUGUGUACAAGGUUGUAUCCAGAGCUGUAUAUAUCACUAGCUUCAUGUGUUUAUGCAUAUCCAGAAAACUAUUUGCAACUUCUGUUUGUGAUCCAGGUCUGUUUUUAAGCACCAUGUGUUAAAUGUAACUCUUGAAUUCCUCUAGAUUCCCACUGCAGUGUUCAUUAUCUUAUUUACUGAAGGUAGAACUUUGAGUAUUUUUAUCAUUUCCAUUUUCACCAUGCUCCAACCACACUAUGUGUAGUCUCUUUUUAGAGAUAUUACCCAAACUUUACCUCUUUUUUUUUUUUGGUCAUUGCUUUGUUUCAGACUAUAUAUUAAUGCUUUCUUUACCUAAACAAGGGGCUUGCUAAAAACUUCUCUUACCACUAGUUCAUCUCCUGUCAACCUUUGUACAUGUAACUAAACCCAGUUUUUCACAUUCAUCUUCUUCCUUUUCUUAGACCCCUUGCUCAUCCUACUGUGGAAGAAGCUGACAGCUGUCCACAUAAAUCUAUUGUACUCUUCUUCCUAGGCCCAAGGCUCAGUAUUCUUUACCAUUAACAUGUGGCCAUAUGAUGAAAUUCCUAGUAGUGAAAUGAGAGCCUAAGUGCUAUGUAACAUCUGCUCCAAGACUUUAGAACUUUACCCUUUCCUUUUCUACAGGUUGGAACCAUUUGACACUGGAGAAAAUGACUAUAUAAGGAAUAUAAAUGUCUCAAUAUUUCUUGGGAAUAGCUCCCAUUAACCUUGACCCUUAGCAUAAAUAAAUGGAAGUGGGGGAAAAAAGUCUGUUUUGUUUAAGUCACUAAAUUCUUUGCAGUCCCUUGCCUGUAACCACUGUCUGUCUGUCUAUCUAUCUAUGUAUCUAUCUACCUAUUCAUCUACCUAUUUUUUCUCAGUGCUGGGGAUGGAGCUCAGGGCCUCAUACAUACUAGGUAAGUGUUCUACCAUUAAACUACAAUCUUGACCCUGCAAUAUUAACCAAGAUUUUAAAAUUUAUCAUAAAAAUAUUUUGUUAGGUUCCUGGGGAUUUUAUAUCUUUGCACAAUGAAGAUAGUCAGAAAGCCUUAUAUUAGUUAAUGAAACUCUCUUCAUUGAGAGUAAAUAUGUUUUUUGAAGAUAUGUUUACCAUAUUUUCUGAUGUAAGUGGUAAGCUGUAUACUCACCGUUGAGGAAUUUAAAGCUAUAAUCUGGUUCCUGGAUUGGUGGAAUAUCCCACAUUUCUCCAUCUCUAGCUUUAGGUACAUAGAACAUAAUUUAACAUGUUUCAACAGAUCAAAAGACAAAGUGGCAGAAGGAAAAUAGAUGCUUAUUUAUCUAGUAAUAUUCAAACAGCUGGGGCAGCAAAUCUGUUCCUCAAGAUGAAUCUUCAUUCUUUGGGUCUACCAUUCAUAGAUGUAUUGUCCUUGUUCAUGGGGUAAAAAUGUGUCAACAACACUACAUUCCUUUUAGCAUUAAUGAGAAGGGAGAGGAAGUGGAGAGCUCAGUCAUUCUUACUAAGGUAUCUAUAACUUGCAGAUGUUGUUUUUGUACAAAUCCCAUUGUUCAGAACAUGAUCAGAUGGCCAUGCCUUCCUUCAAGGGAGGUUGGGAGAUGCAGUUUUCAAUUGAGACGCCAUGAGCUCAGUUAUAGCUUUGUUUGUUUUUAAUUAAAGAGAGAAAAAGAUAAUGAAUACUAGGGGAGAGAACUAAUGAUAUCUGAUAUAUCUUGUGGCUUGAUGUAAUCUAGAUCUUUUCAUAUGGAUGUCACUGGACAUCAUUUACUUCUAAAUAGUAUUCUCUCAUGGUUUACGUGAUCUGGACAAACAGGAUCCACAUCUACCUAGUCACUAAAGUAAAAAAAAAAAAAGAAUAUUUUUUCUUCAAACCACAUUUUUAAUUCUUGCAAUAUCCUGUUGAUUCUGGGUAAGGAAAAUAAAAGCAGACACAGAAACAAGAUUCAGAGGCAGGAAAAGAAGAGGCUGCCCCUCCAAGAAGCCACCUUUAUUUAUAUCAAAAUUUACAUUAGGUCAUUAGUGCCAUGACUACAUUAUUAUUUAGCAUUCCUUUAAUCCCAGGUGCUAGAUAACUGAGUUCAAAGUCCAGACCGAUUAAGACACAGAUCCUUUUUCUCUAAGGACAUUACCCUAGUUACUAGAUACUGCUCCUGUAUUAGUUAUCUUACUAGCUUCAAGGAGAAAAGGCUGGGCAUUCCAAAAGUGGAAAACAGAGCACCUGUUACCCCCGGGGAGUUUGCUCACCAGGGGAAUGCUUCCCUGUACCUUUCCACAGUCAGAAUACCUACAGCUCCCCUUUAUGUUUUAUAUGGCUGUUUGGAUGAAUAACAUUUGUUUCCUCCUUAUGUUGGAGGAGACAAAUAAUAGGGUAGGCAUUGAUAACAGCAAACACAACAUAACAAUCCCAAUUCUAAUGGACAUCCACGUAUGAAAAAUCGUUUAAUCCAAAUAAAAUUAAGUAACCACAAAGUGAGCCAGUCCAAUAUAUCUAAGCAUUCAUCAUCUUGUUGGACCUUUUUAAUGAUGUCUUCCAGGUAAUCUAACUCCUUUGAAAUAGAACUACUAUUAUCACUUAAGUUGAAGCAACAAAUAUUAUUAAGCUCUUGACAUCCUUUAUGAUGAGAUAAUAAUAAAUUUUCAAUUGCAACCCAAUUUUCAAGAAUGGCUUGACAAUGUUGUUUUUGUUCUUCAUUAAGCAUACUAAUUGCCAUAGAGGUAUGAUUAAUAUUUUUUACCAUAGUUCAGGCCAGUUUCAUAGUUGUUUUGUAAGCCAUGACAACUAGUCCAGGGAUACUCAGGAAGAAAAAUGUCAAAUUCUGCCUUAGAGAGAAGGUUUACUGAAUCAUCACAGUUUUCAUCAAGGGAAAUAAACCUUUUAUGGAAAUGUUGUGCAGGAUGGUGGUCCAUCAAAUCCUGUGGGGAUGGUAGGAACACAGUCUGCUCAGACAACAAUGGGUACUAUGAGACAUAAUAGCAGGCAUAUAAUGAAAAGUAUAUGUUCCACAAGGAAAGAACCAUCCUGGUGGGAAGGGGAUAUAACCAUUUCCAUACAUAAUGGGCUCUAUCUUAGUAAAAUUAAAUGAGGUUCAUCCUAAAGAAACGUAUCUAUUUAUACAGACUUGAAUUUCAACACAAGUUUCAGUUGCAUUUAUAGCAACAGUGGGAGUAAGUAACAUCAUAGCAUUAGAAGGCUUAACAUACUGAGGAUUUCCCCAAUUUUAAGAAUCUUUAUAGGAUAUAGGUUUUUGGAUGCCUCCCUUGGAAAACAUUGUCAUACUCACAAUUUUGCGUGCAGGAUGGCACACAGUAAGCAGACAGGAGCCCAAUAUACUUCCAAUAUUAAUAUCCUGGUGGGUGCAAAUCUCAGACGAGUUUUAACAGUUUCAGCCAGGAUUAUCCAGAUAUUGUAAUGGGUUCUAGACGUUAAGGAGUCUGACUGUACUGAAUUUCCCAUGGCUAGGGUACAACAGCAGAACAACAUUAUCAUAAGGAUCAAAAUAUUUACAGAGUUUUGUGUAAGUUUAGCAAAUAAAGCAGUAACCAAAUUUUUUAGAAUGCAUUCUAAUCCCAUUUGAGCCAGCAGCUGCUGAGCUGAGGCUGUUAAUGAUUUUAUAUCUCCCCAAGUCACAGGAGUUCUAGUAUCUUGGGGCCUUCUUCUAGUGUUCCUUCUCUUUUGAAGACAGUAAUCAUCUUUUGGUUCAGUGAAAUUCUGCUCAUCCAGAGUCAAAUGGAACUUGGGGAUUGGGUUGUGAAGUCCCUGAUGCCAACUCGUACUUGACAAGUCUUAUGUGUUGAGGUGGAAUCCAAACAGGUCUUGGUGGUGUAAACACAACCCUCUAUCCUUUUCUCCAUGUGAUCAGAGGCAUAGGGUAUUAUCAUCCUGGGUCUGGUGGAACCCUAUAUUUUACAUAAAUUUUUGGUAAUGGCUGUUUGAGAAUAAAAUGUCUAUCCAAAGAAAAUGACCAAUUGUGAGUAUUAACUUUGUUUUGGAUGUUGAGUGCAUUAACUGUAAAUAAAAUAAUAUUUAAACCAUUAUUAAUAUGAGAAAGGUUAGGAAUUAGAGAUCCAGCAGAAGUUAAAAAGUAAGGAAAACUGUUGUAACCAUUUUUUAGAAUAAAACUAUUCUCUUAUAGCAUGGUGUUGUAGUUUAUAUUCUUUCUGGAGAGUUAUUUCUUUUCUUUUUGUUUUAAAUCUUGUAAUAGUUUCCACAUAUGGUUGAAUAUAAGUAAUGAUUUGUUGUGGAUUGGAAAAGAUAGAGCAUGGUAGCCAGGGGGAGCUUUUGGACACUUGUUUAUUUUUGUUUUCUCUGCCCCAGACCUGGGUGGCCUCUUGACGCUGUGCCUGAGACCAUACCAUAAAAGUAAUUAUUACUAUGACAUUAGUAUUUGUGUCCAAUAACCCUGUAAUAGACUGUUCAUUUAAACAAAAAGUAAAUUUAGGUCUACUUUAAAUAACUGAUAAACAUGUACCAAUAAUAAUAGAGUAAAACCUUAUAUUUUCCCUUUCAUUUAAAGGUUGUUGAGCUGAAACAUGGAGAAUUACCAUCAAUUGAGCAACAGAUGAUUUGGGGGGGAGGUGGAAAAAUGGAUCCCCCUUCCUUUUGCUCUGGGUCGGUAGGUUGCAACUCUUUAAAUGCAGCAAAAAGUAACUGUUCAUAUGCUGGUUGGUUAGCAUAUGAAUUUUGCUUAUUGAGACAAAUAGCUAAGUUAUGAGAGUCCCCUUCCUCCACAGCUUGUCCCAAACACUCAGUUACUGCUAUUGGUGUGGCUGCCACAGCUGGCCACAGAGGCAAUGGCAGUUAAUUAAUUAAUGGAGCCCUGCCACAACUAGUGGCUGCUUGUUGCUGCUGUAGCUACACUGCUGUAGUGGCAGCAGCUACAAAUGGUUUAAAGGGGCCACAUGCUUGGGCACAGGAGGAAAAGAACAGGCAGUUUGAGAAACAGAGGACUUAAUUAAUAGCGUCACAACAAAGAAACUAAGCUUGUAACGCAAGUAUAGGUGCUCAAGGCUCAUCAUGAAGCAUUUCACCUAUCUUCUCCCAAUCGUUCAAAUUUAGUGACCCACUUUCUGCAUAAAAAGGACAAUAAGAGUCUAUCUCUGUCAGCAGGACAGCAAAAUCAGCAUUAUUUAUGGUAUGCCCAGCCUUGCUAAGUAGGAGAGAAAAGUUCUGCCUUAUGACAUUAUUGAGCAUCAGAUAGAGAAUUACCCAUAGCUUUCUGACUAGGAAUUGGUACCAGCCAAUGAAAGAUGUGCGUCAAAAGCCUGUUCCUGGCAUAAGUAAGCUACUCCCUUCUCCAUUACCUGUCAAUGUCCAGAAGUGGUGUCUCUAUUAGGGCAGAUUUUGUUGUCUGAAACUCUCUGUGGAUUGGGAAGAUGUAUAGUGAGAGAACUUUUCUUGUGCCCCUAGUUGUAAGGAAAAUAAAAGGAGACAUAGAAACAAGAUUUAGAGGCAGGAAAAGAAGAGGCUGCCCCUCCAAGAAGCCACGUUUAUUUAUAUCAAAAGUUACAUUAGGUCAUUAGUGCCAUGAAUACAUUAUUAUUUAGUAUUCCUUUAAUCCCAGGAUAACUGAGGUCAAAGUCCAGACUGAUUAAGACACAGAUCCUUUUUCUCUAAGGACAUUACCCUAGUUACUAGAUACUGCACCUGUAUUAGUUAUCUUACUAGCUUCAAGGAGAAACUGCUGGGCAUUCCAAAAAUGGAAAACAGAGCACCUGUUACCCCCAGGGAGUUUGCUAACCAGAGGAAUGCUUCCCUGUACAUUUCCACGGUCAAAAUACCUACAAUUCUAACUCAUUAACAUUAUGUUGAUUAUUUCUUCCUCCCCUCUGCAAAUAUUGCUGUAUAAUUUUCACCAUCAUCAUCUUUCUCUUCAACUGUAAGUGUGACAUUUUAAGUAGUGUUGGGACUUUAAUAUUGUAGUAGGUGCCUCUCUAAUCCUGUCCCCAAACCGUAGUAUUCUUUCUGAAUUGCAAAUCUGAUCAUUUUGCUCCUCUGCUAAGAGCCCUUUGAUGGUUCUUCAUUAUCUAUGAAAUUAGCCCAAAAUCCUUAGUAGAGUCUUCUGUGGUCUUAACCUUUAUUAUAUAAUAUUUUCAUCCUUAUCACUUGUAAUCUACAUCUCAGCUCUGCUGUCCUACUUUUCUUUCUAUCUUUCUUUUUUUUUUAAAGGGGGAGCUAUUAAUACAAAGAGAGGCAUGACCUUGGAGGGAUUUAAAGAAGAAGAAUUAAAGUGUCAGGAGCAAGCAAUAGGGAGUCUGGAGUCCCUGUGAGGUAGGAGGAUGCAGAUACUUAACCAGUCUCUUUUAUCUGCCACCAUCAGUCAAACCUGUGCUCCUGCCCCACCCCAGGCACUAGGGAAUCCCCCAGUAUUAGAGAACUUCAGGCUGUUGAUAAAACCCACUGGCUGAGGUGGGCAGGCAUUGCAGGGAAAUUCAAGCUGCUGCAAGCUCUCUCCAAACUGCCAGAGCAGCAUGCAGAAGUUGAGGGAACCGGUGGCCCCAAGGUCCAUGAUGAGUAGGGCUGCUCUAUUCCUGGCUCCUUGUGUAGCACAUGAACUUGACACUUCUGGGUAAGUGGUUGCCUCUUGGAGAUGUUCCAUAAGGCCACAGAGCCAUAUUCUGUGCCAAACACUGUUGCUUUUUAUUGAGGAGAUCAAUGCAGUCAGAAGAUAAGUGAGUGUCUUCCAUGCUUGCACAAUCCCAUUAGAGCCCCAAGCUCUCAGCCUUCACUCCCAAGUCAGGGCUUCCAGUGCAAUCACAAUAUUCUGGUGCCUGAUAAGUAUCUGUUCAUAAUAAUUCUCAACUAUUCAUAUUCUAUACCUUCACAGAGCUCUUGGAGGAUGUGUUGCUGAGCUGGUGGAUGCCCGUGGAAUGACAAUCCUGAAGUUCUUGUGUUCCAUGCAGGUGUAUAGGUACCCGAAACUCUGGGCCUCUCAAAUGAGAAUAAACUUGCUGUGAUUGCUCAAUCAAAAAACUGGAGAAGAUGGCCAUGCAGAGGAUAUGGCUACUGUGGUUAGGGUUUCCCUGUGGCACUCCUCUUAGCUCAAGAAAUCACAUUCAUCUUCUGUCUACUCUUCAUGCUUCAAUUAUUGAGUGUACAUUCUUUGCGGGUGGAGAAGAUGGCCAUAUAAUGGGGUCAGUAAUAACCAAAUGUGCUGGAGAGCUAGUGACCCUGUAAAUAUCACAUGUCUCCUGGGGCUAGAGCCUGGAUUUCCUUUGCUACUGACUUAUGCGGCAUGCUCGUCUGCUCAAGCAUGUCCUCCUACAGGUGUUCUGCCAUCUGGUUCUUAAAGAAUGAAUCUUAGCCUUCUCUUCCUUUUACUACCUGAGAUGCUCAAAAUGGAACUUGAUCAAGGGUAGCUUCUGUGAAGUCUUGUCCAGCAACUCCAACACAUUCUUUCUCCUUGGUGCUAGGCUUUCAGAGUCAUUGAGAACUCUUGUCUUUCCACCACCUGUGGAUGUACCCUGGCCCCCAGUAGAGUCAUCUUUUUGUUACCACUUACUUGCCUGCUCCUCCACUGGUUUCCAAGUCUAACUUUCCUGGCUUACAAGCUGCUUCUGUUGCUCACAUGCUGCUCACUGGUGUGCUGUAGCCAUCACUGAAGAAAUUUUCUGUUCCAAUUUUCUAACUGUGGCAUACUGAUAAAUAAUUUUGCUCUCAAAUAUUUUUUUUUCCCAGAAAGCUCCUUCCUUCUUGGUAUCCAUGGUAGAAAACCAUCUUUCAAGACCAAUGUCAAUGUUGUCAUUUUUAGGAAAAUGCCUGACUUCUGUAGGUUUAGCUACUCAGUCAUUGAUGCCCACCUUUUGCCUUAUGAAGAUGGUCAUUUACAACCAGUAUGAGCACAUUAAUCACAUGAAUUCCAUGGAGGCAGAAAUAAAAUCAUCACUUCUUUAAUUGUUGUUUUGUUUUCUGUGUGAGGAUUGAACCCAGGGCCUCAAGCAGGCCAAAGAAGUACUUUACCACUGAGUUACAUCCCCAUCCUCAAAAUAUUUCUUUAUAUUCUAUAUUAUUAAUACAAAUCCUGGAUUCCUCUUUGUUUGUACUUCCUUUUUUAUGUCUGUUACAUCUACAUGACUGAAAAAUUCUCAUGGAAAGAUUUUGUUCCUUUGUGGGCAUGAGAAAUUAACAUUUUUUUUUGGAAUAUAAUGGGCACACAGUGAAUAAUUCUUUAAAUAUCAAAUAAUGGACUCUUUUCUAAUGCAUAAUACUUUAAUAUUUUAUAUAGAUAUUUUCAGUUGUGAAUGGACCUUUAUUUUAUUUAUUAUAUGUGGUGCUGGGAAUCAAACCCAGAGCCUCACGUGUGCUAGGCAAGUGCUCUUCCACUAAGCUACGACCCCAGCCUACAAAUAAUAUACUCUUAAUGAUGGUAAGACAGGGAAGUGAUUUAAAUAGUCCAGCAACAUUUACUAAAGUAAAUCAUAGUCUACUGUAUAACCCAGUGAUUUCAUUUCUGGUCCAACAGAAAUGCCUAAGCAUGUUUGCCCAGAGACACAAACAAGGAUGUCCCCAGUGACUUUGUUCAUUAUAGGUAAAGAAUUGGGAAAAAUACCCAGAUUUCUAUCAAUAAUUGAUAAAGUAAUUGUUCUCUAUUAAUACAACAGAAUUUUGUACAGUAAAAUAAAUAAACAAAAUGUAGCUAUGGGUAAUGACUUGGACAAAUUUCCCUUUUUCCCCCCCAAAAGAAAGAGAGAGAGAGAGGGAGAGAGAAACAUUAAAAAGCUCCAUUCUAUAUGGUCUUAUUUAUGCAAAGUUACAGAAUCAGGACAAACUUUUGUGGGAGAUGAAGGACAUAGAAGGGACUGGGAACAACACGAAGAUGCCAUUCUGGUGUCCUGUGAUGUUCCUCACCUGGUUGUCGGCUGCAUGUUCUCAUAGUAGUAAAUCAUUGAACUGUGGAAUUUAUAGUUCAGCAAAAAAAAAAAAAAAGAAUAAAUGCAUGAUUGAUAUGCUAGAGUGAACAAGGAUCUAGAGCAUGCGAGCUAUAGUUUGUUGGCACGUCUUUUUGGAUGGGUUUCCCGAUAUAAGACCUGUGUACCUUUUAGCCUGGCCUUUUUUACCCCUUCUAGCCAGAAAAGGAGGAAGAUUGGUCUGUGGUUACCAUUGGAUUCUAUGCAGAAAUGAGAAAGAGAUGGAAGAGCUUUGCUUCAUGUUUUUUUCGAGACUGCUUUAUGCAUUAGCUCAUGUCAAAUUAAAGGGAAAAAUAUUCCAACUUUUUAUGUAUUUAUGUUUAAAUCCACGUGCUGAGACACUUUGAUGAUAAGCUAACCUAAAUGAUAAAUCUAUUAUAAACUAUAUACUCUGCUAUUAAUUUGAUUAACUUGAUUAUAUCGAGGAUCAAAUAAAUUUACUAGUUGACAUAGUGAAAAGAUGUUCAUGUCCCUCACUUUAGUAUGCUAUGCAUAUCUGGUGCAGAUCCUUGUCACUUGUUAUCUAAUAAUAAUUGUAUGGCAUUUCAUAGUGAGCCUCAAUAGUUUCAGUUCAUCCAACAUUGAAAACCAAGACUGACGUAUAACUCUACAAAAUUCAAAUUAAUUUGAAGUAACUGUCCUUUGAAACUAGGUAAUGACAGUCAACACUGUUAAAUCUUUCCUAAGUGUUAGACAAUACUUUCAAAUCAGAUGCAAAUUGAGAUAAUUUUACUGAUAAUUAUUGGUUAUUUUACAACAAGCAGGUUUUGGUCAGAAUUAUUUGUACAUAUUAUUUUGUUCGCAACAGUUUUAAAUGUAGAUUUAGUCGGAAUACAUUUUGAUUUGAAUUAUCUAGAUGACAGUUAUUUAACCUGAUUUUCUUAAUUUCAUGUUGUCCUUUGUAGAACUAAUGGUAGAAUUGGGAAUAGAACAUAUAAUAAUCCUGUUUUCUUGAUUAUACUAGCUACUGAGUAAUUGGACUCUACUCUGUCCUUAGAGUUUAAAAUGUAUCUUAAAGGAAUUUUUUCUUAUAUUGAAAACUGGUGCUGUGAAAACUCACUUUCAACUCUGCAGUAUGGACUUUGAAUUUAUUAUUAUUGCUGUGACACUUGUUUUUGCAAAUACCGCAAUAUAGUCAGUACACGAUUUAGUAAAAUAAGCACCCUAGAAUGAUGGAUAAGAGAGCAAUCUUUUCUUUAUAUAUGUUUACAAUACUUCUUCCUCUCCUGUCUGCUGACCUGGGAAUAUUUAUUGUAGGGUCUUGGAGAGACACAGAUUAAGCAUAAGAUAUGCUUCCCUGUCCUUGAGGAGAUUCAAAUCAGAAGCAGACAAGAAUCAGAAUGAAAACAACUAUAGGAAUGAGCAGAAGAGGAGGUAGAACCAUGUAGAGCAAGCUUUAAGAAUAAUGGAAAUUCAGAAAGGAGGGUGAUUAUUGUAUCCAGUCAGUCAGGUGAUUGAUUUCAAGAGAGAGAGAAAAAAAAAGAGCACUUAAAAGUAACUAUGUGCUUUAAUUCAAUCUCAUAGAACUUAAAAAAAAAAAAAGGAACCUGGCAUAAAUAAAUUGCCUGAGAAGGAGAAGGAGGGCACCCCAGGCAGAAGGUCAGAAGUCCUACUGAUCUUCCCUUUCUGCGUCUGUCGCGGAUGUUCUUGUCUUCCUUCUUGGUAGCAGAGGUUACCUGUAACUCACUGAGACAUCAAAGCUUUCGGCUCUGAGUUCCUUCAUCUGAAACAGUUCAAUAUAGAUGAUCCUUGUCUCAUUUACAUGGCUCUGUACUCCACAAGUUCUCUGCUCUUUCUUGCUGCUCUUUGAAGAACAGGUAUCAGUAUUUUAAUUCUUUCUUUCUUCUUCCCUUCCUGACACUAUCCCCGAGUGACCUUUCCUGUGUAUCCAUUCUUCAUUCUCUACUGAAAUUUCAGAAAAUUAAACAUCAUAUUUCAGAACAUUAAAAAAUAAAUAUAAAAAGUUUUCUUAUUUAGUUGUUCAUUUCAUUAUGCUCUUUACUAGAUUUUACUUGUUAUUUAAUUAUCAGUGGAAUUUAAAAUAUAUCUCCUACUACAAGCUCACUGAGGGCAACACAUUUAUUUUCAUUGUUUUCCUUACUGUCAGUUUGGACACAGCAGUUAUAUAGUAUUGGAUAAGGAAAAGACUAUAUAAUUCUUCAUGCUUCAUAAUGUUUUCUUUGUUUCUUCCAGCCAUUCCUCCAUCCAUGUACUGCUAGAUUAAGUCAAGAUACAGUAUUCUAUAAAAAUAGGAUAAAACAUAAAAAUAACAAUAAAAAUGCAAAUACAGACAUUAAUCGUUCAUCUUGAAAGAAAAUUUUCAUUUCCUCUACAAAUGCUGCUCACCUCUCUUCUGUUUAACAACACACAACUCUUAACAACACACAACUCAGAAGUGAACAGUACCAUCUAGGCCGCCCACUCACUGCCCACUCUAUCUUGAAACUCUCUCCAGUCUGACAAUUUCUGAAAAGCAGCUCUCUGGAAAUUGCUUCUUCUAUGGUCACUUGUCAGUGUAUACUUAAAAAUUCAAAAAACACUGUUGUUUUUUUUCUAACAUCUUUUACUCUGUGGCACGCAACAUUGCUCUACCCAGUUAUUCUGAAAUACACUGACUUCCAGCUUCCUUUCACUGAGGGUUGCCAUCUUAGCUCUCUGUAGGCCUCAGGAUACUCCAUCUCCAGUUUCCAUUAGAAGGACUAGCUGCUCUUUUUGCUCCUGCUUCCUAUGCUGUGAUAAGUGGCUAAGGCAUAGGCAUUUGCCUUCUCUUUCACCUCUCUAUCCUAAUGAAUUUAUUUAAUUCCAUAGAGAUCCUAAAAUCUAGCCAAAUUUUUCUUCUCUUCUGCUGUAUUGUUCAUCAGAUCAGUGGAGAAAUACUCUUCAUUGCAUUUUCUGUUUUUUUUUUUUUUUUUUAAUAGCAUUGCUGUUAGCCAGUCACUUGAGGUUUCAGUAUUUAGAAGUCACUUUUCAGUUUUUUCCUUUCCUUCUCCUUCUAUUUUGAGUAGCAACACUUCUUUAGAUUCCCCUUUAAUUUUCUUUCUUCUCCCUUCACAGUGACCUAGAGAAAGUCUUUGUUUUUUACAAGUCUCUAAUGAACACAUUCAACAGGUUUCCUUACAUUUUUCUUUCUUACUUCAACCGGCCUCUAUGGAAUAAACCUUAUGAACAGUCUCCCUUUUCAAAUACUUUGCUGUCACCUCUACAAGUAGCUUCCAGCCCUGAUGAUCCCAGUUGUCUGUGCAGAGCCUUCCACAUAAUUUGUAGGGCCAAGUACAAAAUGAAAACACGGGGUCCCUUGUUCAAAAGCAGAUAAAAGUGCCACUAAAGAAACUAGAAUAUUAAAAAUUUUCAGAUCUGUCAUAGUUUUUCAUUCAACUGUCAUUUUUUUCUACUUAAUAUUGUGCUAAGAAAAAUUUAAAUUUUAAAUUGUUACCGUGAAUUUUAGUGUACAGUGAUCAUUCUAAAUGCAAGUAUAAGACCUUUUAAAUUAUGCAGAAACAUUGAUGUUAAUAUGUAUUCUGUAACUUAUUAUGUAUGCAUAUGUAUGUAUACAUAUAUAAAUUUCCUAACAGACUAGUAUAAAUGUUGCACAAAAUUUCCUCAUCUACUUUCGUUCAACUUUUUGCUACAUUCUCAUUUCACUGACUCUUUUAUGCAGCUUACAGAUGAAUAUCAAAGACUUGAAGGUAGAAGAACUUUGGGUUCUCUUUCUCUUUCCUUGUAUGUCAUUUUCAGUGUAGAUGGUUAGCUGGAGAAGCAGUAUAAGCAAGGAAGGAUACGGCACAGACUUGGUGGCUUCUAUCACUUAAAAUGUCUUUGCUUUCUUUCUCAUUAAAGCAAAUUCUGGUUCAAGGAGAAAGCAUGGUCUCUCGGGCCCAUCAGCACCCCUAUUUCCUCAGUCUCAAGCAUGGCACUUGGGCUUCAAUUCAUUUUGAGAUUUGCCAAACUUACAUGUUUUGGGUCCACUGCAAUUCCAUGCAUAGGCCAUGUUAAACAGUAUAUAGGAAUGGAAUGAUAAGGAACGGCUGCAGACAAAAUAUUUUUGAUAAAAUUAUCAGGAAUUUCAUGAUGGUUAUAGCCAAGUAAUAAACUAAGCAUGGAACCUGUGGGACUACACAGUGCACAUGCCCGUGAGGUCCAUCAUCAUUUCUAACUGUGGAUCCUCUUAAAAACAGGCUCCAACGCCAGCCUUUUGGAAUCGGAAUCUUGAGGGUGGGACCUAGACAUGGGUAUCUGAACUCAACAACAUCUUCAGUAACUUCACAAAAAUUUUGUGAACGUAUGUAAAAAUCCAUAAUCCCUUACACUAGCAUUGGAAGAUCUUUAAAAUUAAUUUUUUCACUACUCAAUUUUAUCAUAUCAUUGGUUACUUUGAGCCCUUGUCUGUGGCUAAGUAGGACUAUUUAAUGCCUCUGGUUGUGUUUUGUAUUUUGUUCCACCUGUGUUGCUCACACCAUUGUCCCCGAUUUUAAUAACCAUUCUCUCCUUGGUACUUAUGAGAACUGUACCAUCCUUUUUCUCACACACACAUCAAAGCUCAAGUCCACCAUAAAAUCAUCCCCCACUACUCCAGCUAAGGGUAAACCCUCCUUUUCCUCAGUUUUUAUAGGACUUAUGUUCUAGGCCAUUUAUUUUAUGUGCAAUAUUGUGCGGUGUGCCAUGACUUCUCAUUUUAUGUGCGUGUUCCUUCUUUCUCACUAGAUUCAAUGUUUCUUGAGCACCUGGUCUUCUUCUUGAGGUUUAAAAUGGUCAUGUGAAGAUCCAAGAAUUUUUUAUGAUUGCUGUAGAUGAUCUUAAAGAAAACAACUGUAAUAAAUAAGCUGGCUUCUAUUUCUUAAUUUGAUUGGACCAUAGUACUUUUUAGAAAGGAAUUUCCAUUCAGAAUUUAUUUUUGUCAGUCACCAUGACAGUGCUUUAAAAUCAAUUUGUUUCUGAAAUUUAAAUAAAGUCAUUGAAACGCCUCUGAAAUGUGAUGCCUUAGUUGUGCUGUCAGAAGUCUCUACAAGAGUUGCUAAAUUGAUUUUCUGCAGUAGUUUCUUUCUCCAAGUAAUGUUUGAAUAGUUUUCUGAAAAGGCAGAAUUUUCAAACAAAAUUAGGAAGCUCUGUUCAAUGAAUUAAAAAGGUGACUUUGUUAGGUUCUUAUGUGAAAACUUGAUUUGGAGCCAGAAACAAACACAUGCAAUUGAAAUCGUUUAAUCUUUUCUAUUAUUAUCAUUAUCAUUAUCAUUAUUAUUAAAAUAAAUGCUGCUAUAGAGGAUCUUCAUGCAGUGAUGCAUUUCCUGUGGGAGAGUGAAAAUUAGGAGAUUGUCCCAAGUUUUGCUUGCCAUUUAUAUGGUUAUUGCUAACUCAUUAUUUUAUAAAGCAACAUUGAAAAAUAUAAUAUAUUCCUUCCCCCUGCACAUGCAUGCAUGUGAUAUUAUUAUGAUAAUGAAAAUCAUCAUAUAUGUUGAUAAACUGUCAGUAUAUAGAAGUAAUUUCUAAUCCACCCCCCUUUGAACUUCAAAUGUUGUUUUGUGACUAUGAAUAUGUUAAGUGUAGGAGUAGAAAUUGUUAAAGCUUAGUACUAAUAAAAAUCUUGUGAUAUGUCAUUAGAAAAGUUUUUUUAUUUUAUUUUAAAAAAGAAAAUUAUAUUCUAAUACUAUACAUUAUGUAGAAAAAUAGGUUGUAACUUCCUUUAUCAGUUACAUGAUGUCAUUUAACAAGACAGGUAAAGUUUGUCUGAGUUCUAACAUAGCACAAGAUCCUCUUAUAAUUCAAAUAUUAAAGUUUAAUUGUCCAACCAUGUAUAUCAUGCUGCUUUCUAAUCACUGGGAAUAUUCUGUAUAUGCUUGUACUUUUUACUUAGGUAUAUGAGUGUAUGGCUGUAUUUGCUAUGGGUAUUCUUUUGUUCAUCUUUUCUUUAAUGUGAAAAAUAGACCAAAAAUAAAAGAAUAAAAAAAUUGCAUUCUUGUCCUGGCAUUUUGUGACAUUUCUGCAUUUCAACAUCUGGAAAGUCUUGUGUGACAGUGACAACCAAAUUGACAAAGCUACUGACUGCAUUCACUAUCACAAAAAUAUGUGGGCACUAACAGCACCACUUUAAUUCUAAAAAGCUCAAUACACUGUCUUUUCAUUUUGGCCUUGAAGACAGAAAGAGAAACCACAUUUUUUGGAAGAUGCAUUCUGAGCAUUGUACAUCACACACAUUGGAAAACAGCAGUUUCAAAGAAAGGAACAUGCAUUAUAGGAAACUAGAAGAGAGCAGCUGCAGAACUGGUCUAAUUUCAGAUCCUGGAUGGAUUUGAUAAUCAAAUGACUAUUCUGCAUAAACUAGAUGCAAAAUAGCAAAACAUUAAUUACUCCUAUUAUUGCCUUUAUAUAUUGACAUGAAGAACAAAAUAAAUGCACAAAACAUUUUAAACAGAAAGCUAAAGGAAAAUAAAAUUUCCACAUAGAAAUAUCUACCAUGGUGAAGGAAAAAAAAAAUGCCACAUGAAGAAAGGAGUCCUAAAAUAAUAAUGCUAACAUCGAUAAAAUCUAAAUUUUAUUAUAUCUACAAUGUGCUAUCAUUUAAGGAAGAUACAAAAUGAAGGGAAGAAGUAAUUUAAAGAUAUCAUAUUAAUGUUUAAAUGCACACAUAAAUUACAGUGGAAUAUAUUGAUUAAUUGGCAGGAAUUAAACAAGACUUCAGUGUUUGGACUGAUUAUGUUAAAGUAUUGUUAUUUGUGUGCCACUAAAUUUUAUCAUUUACCUCUAUAAACUCUACCUGCAAUUUAAGAAUCUAUUAUAUAGUUUUUCACAGAAUAACAGUUAAUACUGUUAUUCUAGUGGAAAUAACAUGUCUCUGAACUUAUCUCACAGUUUUUCUAACCUGUGAAUCUCUUCAAUCAAAAUGGAUAUUCUUUUAUCAUUACUCAAAUUUAAAAAUAGAUUAAAAAUUGAAACUGGUACCCAGUUAAUUUCUAGAGAAAGUGCCAUUAGGCCUGUCGUUACUGUAUAAUACUGCCACUCCUAAAAAUGCAAUUAGAUCCACAUGUCAAGUAGCAGCACACCACCGUCUCCACCACACCCCCCUCCAAAAAAACAACAACAACAACAAAAAAAACACCUCUGCUCCUCUGGUCUUCUUUUACUAUUUUGGGAAAUGUAUGCCAUUAAGGACAUUUUAACAUAAUGGCUUGAUAAGCUCAAGUCUAGUCUCUGUCCUAUAUUCCAGGUCACCUCAUGAUCUACUCUGGAUAGUUGAAACCAUUCUGGGAAAUUCAGCUUUCCAUCACUGUGACAAAACGUCUGAGAAAAUCAACUUCAAGGAGGAAAGAUUUAUUUUUCCAUGUGAUUUCAGAGGUUUCAGUUAUAUAGUGUUGGAUAAAGAAAAGACUUACUAUUGGGUAAAAAAAAAAAAAAAAAAACUGAAGGCAGAAUAUCAUGGUGGGGAGCAUGCUUUAGAGCUGUUAGGAAGCAGAGAGAGUGAGCCAGGGGCCUGGAACAAAAUAUCCCCUUCAAAGACACAUCCCAAGGAACCCAUCCCAAGGGACCCACCUCUUUCAACUCAACCUUACCUCUUAAAGUUUCUGCUACUUCCUAGUAGCUCCACCAGCUGGGCAUCAAACCUUCAACACAUGAGCAUUUGGGUAACUUUUGAGAUCCAAACUGUGCCCUAUACUUUGAGUUAGAAAAAAAAUCAUCACUAAAUCAUCAAUAAAUGAUGAUUAAUCAUCACUAAAUCAAACUUAGCUCUUUUUGAUUUCUUCAAAAGGUUUUGACCAGGAUUUUGCUCUUUGUAAGGGGUAAAACUGGAAAUGGAAUCCAGGUAUCAGAGUGCCAAGUACAGUAAUAUUUCAUUUAAUCUUCUAAUUAAAUUCAAAAGCUUUCUUUUAAAACUGAGAUUCAGUCCUUGCAUGGGUGAUUUAUUCUAGUUUAUAUUCUGAAAACAGAAUGCACAACUACAUGUUCAAACAAGGGUGAUAUCUCUUAAAAAUUGCUCAGUCAUCACCUAAAGAUCAAAAAUAAUGGUAUCUUAAAUUUCACAUUAAAAUGUAAACUAUUUAUGACAAAAGCGAUAAAUAUUUACAUUUCUGUGAUCCUUUGGUUUCUUAGCUGAAAGUGACAAGAAGUGGUAAACUCUGUGAAUCCCUUACUUGGUACUCUUUUGCCCUGCCCUCAUUCUUAAUAAAGCUCCAUUUGUUCCAUAUCAGUGUGCCUACCACAAGCAAUGAAUUGUUCUAUGUCAGUUAAUCUUGACAAUCGUUUCCCUCAAUUUAACAGCUUUCUUUACAGCUACAUAUGACCAUGUGACCAGUCUGUCUUCUCCAGUUUGUAUCUCUGGUGAAAGAGGUCAGAUAUGGCUAACACUGUCCUUCCAGCAUCCUUGCACCCUUUGUAUUUUUAUCAUGUAACUGUUGUACCCAGCUCCAUCAGGAAAUACACAUACAUAAAGGUGAGAAGAAACCCAGAAAUCAUAUCCCUGAAUUUUUUUUGUAAAUAUUUUUAGUUGUAGAUGGACAUAAUACCUUUAUUUAUUUAUCUUUAUGUAGUGCUGAGGAUCAAACCCAGUGCCUCACAUGUGCUAGGUGAGCGUUCUACCACUGAGCCAUAACCCCAAGCCCUCAGCCCUGUGAUGUCUUUAAGUUGCUAAACCAGUAAUAGAAGUCCAUGUUCUUCUAUUCAAUUUAUCCUAUCUUGUAUGGUAAGAAAAAACAUAUGUUUUAAGUUACUGUUCACUGGGUUUUCUGUUGCUUACAGCAUAAAGUAUCCCUAGCCAAAAUUCCACAACUUGGAGUUGAAUAAGAUCAUUCCUGCUACUAAUGGGAAAGAUCAUAAAAAGGAAAGCAUAGCAUGGUACCCCAUAAAUAUGUACAAUUUUGUGUAUCAGUUAAAAAUAAUCAGAAGGAGAAAUAGAAAGUGUAAAUGCCAUGAAAACAAACUCCAAAAGUUACUUUGGUUUCAUAGAAGUUUAUUCUAGUACUUUGUACUUUACUGCAAUUGCUUUUACAAUUUCUUGGUCAAGUGGCCAGAGAAAGAGCAACAUGCAGUUGUUAUAAAACCUGAACUCAUGUAAGGACAGUUCCUUAAAAAACAAAACAAACAAAACAAAACAAAACAAAAAAAACAAAAAAACAAGUGUUUCUUUUCUAAUGCAAACUCAAAGAACAACCAGAAUCUACUGGUUGUAGAGUCCAUAUAUGGAAUCAUUAAAGGUAAGUCAGGAAGAUACCUUAACUCAGGCUUUUCAGAUAUUUAGAAUUAAGCAGUAUAAGUUUGUGAAGAAAGAUUGGGCAUUGCUCUGCAGAAAUGAUCAAAACAAGGAGGACUGGUUUUCAAAGGAAUGGUCAUUAAUCUUGCUUAGACUAUUCAAAGAAGAUAGUUAUGCCCAAGCUUUGCUUAGAGAAAAUAAAUUUUUAGUGGCUAGAAUAAGGCAACUGGGGAUUCUAAGAAUUGUAUGCUAUAGUUCAUGAUAUGAGGUAGGUAUUACACCUGUAGUUCACUUUCAGAGCAGUUCACUUAGACUUGGGAAGUAUGAGGAAACGGAUCAAGGAUAUGGAAGCAAGAAUCUGGAAGGAUCUGGGCAGAAUGUAAAGGUACCAAUUAAGAGAGAUUUUAUUCUGGGUAAGUCUUCAUUUCUAAUGAAGUCACAGAGUGCCAAACAGGAAACAAAAUCAGAGCUCAAAGAUAGAGAUACUGAGUGGUGUUAGCACUUAACGCACAGAUGUCCUGUGUUCCCCAAGGCACACCAGACAUUGCUAUAUAGAGGCAAAUUAAUUCUUUGUCCUGUAUAGACCUCAAGGUGAGAUUUUUACCACCAGCAGAUUCAUUUCCAUAUCCUCUUAAUCCCUUUACUCUGGGGAAUUCAUUCCAAAAAAAAAAAAAAAUGGAAAUGCUAACUCAGCACUACUUACAGAAGUUUCUGUUUAAGUUAUUGGCUUCCAUUCAUUUUAAACUAUAUCCUAUAGGUAGACAUUAUAUGACACACCAAAACAUAAUUGAAAAUAAUAUGGCCAAGAGUUUACUGUGAAUGAUAAUCUGUAAUACUUUCUAUUUUAUUCAGUUUUGUCCUAUUAUUCCAUGAAAAAGUCCCUGAGUCACAAAAUUUAUUUUAUCACUUGCUAAUUGGUUAGUGAGUACAAUUUGAAAAGUCUGGAAUAUUUCCUAUGAGGAGAUGUGUUCAGUCUUUGGAUUUUCUUCAGUAUUGAUUCUGCCUGCAAAAUUUCUUCUGGCUAUCAUUUAUACAAAAUAUUUUUCCAGCUCCGCCUUUCAAAUACCAGUGUUCUUCAUAGUUCAGAAGUUGGUGUUCUUCAGGUUCAGAAGGUUUCCACCUGUCCUUGAACUUCUUGAAGCUCUUUACCUAAUGUCUAUUUAACUAUUUCCUGGUAGAAAUUUGGAACCAUCUUAACACAAUUGUGCUGAAAUCCUGUGCUGUGCACCAUCUUUGUUUCCUGGUAGCAGGUCUUCCUUAUAAUUGUCAAUUGUUAUGGGCCUAUGAUGCUUAUCAGAAAACAAAAUUUGUGACAGAACAUAACAUAACAGCAAGAGAAAAACACACAGGGGAAAAAUAAAAACAAAAACAAACUACUCAACCCAGGAUAAAGUUGUAGAGCACAUUGAACUGAGAAUGCUGAGUCUGGUGCUCAGGAGCUAAAAGUUCUAGUUUAGUCUGCUGAGCUGGCUGUCAUUGAUGAAAAUCAUAUAGAAACAUUUAAAAAAUAAGAA